GCCCGCUUGGCUCAUCGGUAGAGCGCCUCACUAGUAAUGAGGAGGUAAUUGGUUCGACUCCAGUAGUGGGCA
rfam:Microdochium bolleyi strain J235TASD1 unplaced genomic scaffold Micbo1qcscaffold_1, whole genome shotgun sequence.